UACGGAGGGGGCUAGCGUUGUUCGGAAUUACUGGGCGUAAAGGGCGCGUAGGCGGCGAUUCAAGUCAGGCGUGAAAGGCCUGGGCUCAACCCGGGAACUGCGUUUGAUACUGGAUUGCUGGAGUCCGGGAGAGGGUGGCGGAAUUCCCAGUGUAGAGGUGAAAUUCGUAGAUAUUGGGAAGAACACCGGUGGCGAAGGCGGCCAUCUGGACCGGAACUGACGCUGAGGCGCGAAAGCGUGGGGAGCAAACAGG
rnacentral:rRNA from 1 species